ACCACCAGAGAUUCUGAUUUGGUAGGUCUCGGGAAGCUCAGCAAUCUGCAUUUUAACGAGCAGCGCAGGGGAUUCUGAGGCAAGUGGUCCAAAGAAGGGAUGCCUGUAAAAGUUCUGUUUGAGGUCAGAUGAGGUCCUCAAGGCCUCCAGAGAACAUGCAUCCUUCCCUGCAAGCCAGCACUAGAUCCCAGAUCUUUUUACUGUCCUAUAUAUUCUCCUGAUUCUGUGAAGUUUGGGUAGAGAAACACAGUCUGACAAGUCUACUGGUUGGCUCUAUGCUGGGCGGCCACAUCCCCUGGAGCUUCCAAAGAGAAGGGAAGCUUUUCUCAUGGUGGAAUCCUCAAGGUUCUGGGCAGAGGCCUCACCUGCUCAUGCCUCUUCCUCACCUUACC